AAUAACUGCUCGCCUUCAAAAUUACUAUAGUCUAAAUGUAUACCCUUUAGAAUACGAUUUUAAAUUACAAUUAACAAAAUGUAGAUAAAUAUAUUUGAGAAUCAAUUCUGACAUACAGAAUCAAGAAAGAAGAAUAAUCUCUAAAGACAGCAAGAGGUUUCUGAGUGCCAUCAGCACCCUGACUGUGAAAAACUGUAUGAAGGAAGCACAAGAUAUUUCUCUGAGAAUCCCAGAGAAGGGCUUCAUCCCACCCCAGAUGCACCGUAAUGAAAUCCUUCGCUGGAUGAGUAAUUAUGAAUUCUAGGAGAAAUUAUUCACUUAGCUUUGGAUUUGACUCUUUGUGAUAUUCUCUAACCAACAAUGAGAAUAUUUCUUUCCAUGACAUGGCAAUCUCAAGGUGGACUGUGAAGACCUUCCUGUGCAUUGCCUGCUGAGUGAAACUACCUGAUCCUACUGCUGGUUUUCGGAAGGUUGAAUGUGAAUAAUCAGGUCCCAAUUUACCCAAGGUGUCUCAAAGAGAAAUGAAGCUCAUGAUUCAUGCCACUUAAAAAUGAUGCCUUCCCAGGGCUACUGCUGAGGAAAAAAAAAGGAGAGAGUUUUGUCUACAGAGUGUUGGCCAAAAUAAGAGGCAAGGCAACUGUCACUUUUACAAUCCAUCUUACUGGACACCUUGGAUCUCUCAAAUGACACAAGAAGUCUGUGUGGAGAACCAGCUUUGUGACCAGCAAAGAGCACUAUUCUUACUCUAAAAUAUAUAUUGCAUUAGAUGUCAAAUCUGUGUUUGAACCUUGCUUUAAAAAUACUUAACAUAAUGAAGAACUCAGGUUAGUUAAAUUGCUAAGAGGCUUUGUGUCAAAUAUAUCAACAUAAUUUUAUAAGUAAGAAUCUUUAAAACAUUAAAUUCCAAAAUCCACGAACAUCCAAGCUGUACUCCAUUUUAUUUUCCAAAAUAUAAGCAUAUGGUCCAUUUAAAAUUAAUUAAUUGCCUACCAUGGCAUUUUUAUUACUAAGUAUGUGCACUAUUUAUCUUAAAUAUAUUCCAAUCAUUAUCAUAUACUAAAAUUCAAUAAAUUUUAAAUAUAACACAAAAUAAAUAUUUUACUCUGUUCUUAAAUGCAGCCUGAUUACAGAAUAAUUACUGAUUGGUAACAAAUGUUUAAUUUAGUAUUUAGGUGUAUUAUAGGCCAAAGUAAAGGCAUACAUGGGACAUGGGGCCACAUUCCAUGACAGAAAGGUUCCAGAGAAAUGUUUGAUCAUUCUUUGUGAUGCAUAAAAUAUGUCACAGCUGUACUAUAAAAGAUAUCAGCCAUCAGGUAAGGCUGUCAUUUGCCCUUGCUGGAUUGUAUUGGAAAAACACAGUGUUUCUGCCUUGUACUUGUGUGGGAUUACUGCUGGAGAAAACACAACCUAUUUAGUCUACAUACAUAUUACCAUUACCCUGCUCUAUUUCAAAAGAAAGUAGUCAUAAAAUAAACAUGGUGAGGAGAAUAGAUCUGGUUGAUAUUUUGUUUCAACAUACACCCAUUUCAUAAGUUGUGAAUAUGCUAAGUACUGGUCUACAUUAAAGCUAGGUUCUACAAAAGGAUUGCA